GGAGGAAAGCAGGGGAUCGAAAGACCUUGUGCUUUUAGAGCGGCCGAUGCCUGAUUAGCUAGUUGGUAAGGUAAAGGCUUACCAAGGCAAAGAUCAGUAGCUGGUCUGAGAGGACGACCAGCCACACUGGGACUGAGACACGGCCCAGACUCCUACGGGAGGCAGCAGUGGGGAAUUUUGGACAAUGGGCGCAAGCCUGAUCCAGCCAUGCCGCGUGAGUGAAGAAGGCCUUCGGGUUGUAAAGCUCUUUCGGUCGGGAAGAAAUAGUUGUGGCUAAUAUCCAUAACGAAUGACGGUACCGACAUAAGAAGCACCGGCUAACUACGUGCCAGCAGCCGCUUUAAGAAAUAGGGUGCAAGCGUUAAUCGGAAUUAUUGGGCGUAAAGGGUGCGCAGGCGGAUGUAUAAGUCAUAUGAGGGAUCCCCGGGCUUACCCUGGGAAUUGCGUUGAUUUAAAGGGGCUAGAAGGGC
rnacentral:rRNA from 1 species